GAUGAACGCUGGCGGCGUGCCUAAUACAUGCAAGUCGAGCGAACAGACCAGGAGCUUGCUCCUCUGACGUUAGCCGCGGACGGGUGAGUAACACGUGUAUAACCUCCCUAUCAGACUGGGAUAACUUCGGGAAACCGGAGCUAAUACCGGAUAAUAUAUUGAACCGCAUGGUUCAAUAGUGAAAGACGGUUUUUCUGUCACUUAUAGCUGGAUCCGCGCCGCAUUAGCUAGUUGGUAAGGUAACGGCUUACCAAGGCAACGAUGCGUAGCCGACCUGAGGGGGGGAUCGGGCACAGUGGGGCUGAGACACGGCACAGGCACCGACGUGAGGCAGAAGUAGGUACGGGACGGAAAUGGGCGGAAGCCUGAAGGAGCAACGGAGCGGGAGUGAAGAAGGGCUUCGGAUCGUAAAACUGUGUUAUUGUUGAAGAACAAAUGUGUAUGUAACGAUGCGCGUCUGAAGGGAACGGAAGCAGAAGCACAGGCUUAAUUAGUG
rnacentral:rRNA from 1 species